UACAGAGGUGGCAAGCGUUGUUCGGAAUUACUGGGCGUAAAGGGCGCGUAGGCGGUUCGUUAAGUCCUGUGUGAAAUCCCCCGGCUCAACUGGGGAACUGCACAGGAAACUAGCGGGCUUGAGUUCGGGAGAGGGAAGCGGAAUUCCGGGUGUAGCGGUGAAAUGCGUAGAUAUCUGGAGGAACACCGGUGGCGAAGGCGGCAUCCUGGACCAAUAUUGACGCUGAGGAGCGAAAGCCAGGGGAGCAAACGGG
rnacentral:rRNA from 1 species